AAGCGUUGAAGUAGGAGGGUGCGCCGGUCGGCAUCGUCUUAUGGAGCUUUCAGGAGGGGUUGUGCAGCGAAACCUCAAACCGGCGUAGGCUUUGAGUAGCCGAAAGAAAGUACAACAG
ncrna:unclassified sequences drum RNA